UCCCGCUUGGCUCAGGGGUAGAGCGUGUCACUAGUAUAUUCUGGGUAUGACAAGGUCAGUCGUUCAAAUCGGCUAGCGGGAA